GGCUGAAGGUGCGGUAACACGCACUGGAGGGCCGAACCGUUCAAUGUUGAAAAAUUGUCGGAUGAGUUGUGUUUAGGGGUGAAAGGCCAAUCAAACCGGGAAAUAGCUGGUUCUCCGCGAAAUCUAUUGAGGUAGAGCGUCGGACGUAUACCGUUGGGGGUAGAGCACUGGAUGGAUGCGGGGGUCGCGAGAUCUACCAACUCUAACCAAACUCCGAAUACCAACGAGAUUUAUCCGGCAGACAGACGGCGGGUGCUAAGGUCCGUCGUCAAAAGGGAAACAGCCCUAACCUACAGCUAAGGUCCCCAAGUCACGUCUAAGUGGGAAAGCAUGUGGGAAUCCCAAAACAACCAGGAUGUUGGCUUAGAAGCA
rnacentral:rRNA from 1 species